UACGUGAGGGGGCGAGCGUUGUCCGGAUUUGAUUGGCGUAAAGAGCGUGUAGGCGGCCAGGUAGGUCCGUUGUGAAAACUCGAGGCUACAACCUCGAGGACGUCGAUGGAAACCAUCUGGCUAGAGUCCGGAAAGAGGAGAGUGGAAUUCCUGGUGGUAGCGGUGAAAUGCGCAGAUAGUCAAGGAAGAACACCUAUGGCGAAGGCAGCCUCUCUGGGACGGUACUGACGCUGAGACGCGAAAGCGUGGGGAGCGAAACAGG
rnacentral:rRNA from 1 species